UGCCGGACGGGUGAGUAACACGUGAAGCAACCUGCCUAUCAGAGGGGAACAGACAGUUAGAAAUGACUGCUAAUACCGCAUAUGCCAUGAGUAUCGCAUGAUACAAAUGGGAAAGGAGCAAUCCGCUGAUAGAUGGGCUUGCGUCUGAUUAGCUAGUUGGUGUGGUAAAGGCAUACCAAGGCGACGAUCAGUAGCCGGACUGAGAGGUUGAACGGCCACAUUGGGACUGAGAUACGGCCCAGACUCCUACGGGAGGCAGCAGUCGGGAAUAUUGCGCAAUGGAGGAAACUCUGACGCAGUGACGCCGCGUGCAGGAAGAAGGUUUUCGGAUUGUAAACUGCUUUAGACAGGGAAGAAGAAGGACAGUACCUGUAGCAAUAAGCUCCGGCUAACUACGUGCCAGCAGCCGCGGUAAUACAGAGGUCUCAAGCGUUGUUCGGAAUCACUGGGCGUAAAGGGUACGUAGGCGGCGGGGCAAGUUGCGCGUGAAAGGCAGGGGCUCAACCUCUGGAAUGCGCGUGAAACUACCCUGCUAGAGCGAUGGAGGGGGAACCGGAAUUCUUGGUGUAGCAGUGAAAUGCGUAGAUAUCAAGAAGAAGACUCGUGGCGAAGGCGGGUUCCUGGACAUGAGCUGACGCUGAGGUACGAAGGUCAGGGUAGCGAAAGGGAUUAGAUACCCCUGUAGUCCUGGCAGUAAACGGUGCACGCUUGGUGUGGGAGGAAUCGACCCCUUCCGUGCCGAAGCCAACGCGAUAAGCGUGCCGCCUGGGGAGUACGGUCGCAAGAUUAAAACUCAAAGAAAUUGACGGGGACCCGCACAAGCGGUGGAGUAUGUGGCUUAAUUCGAUGCAACGCGAAGAACCUUACCAGGGCUUGACAUAUGCAGGAAUAGCUAAGAGAUUAGCUAGUUCUUCGGAACCUGCAUACAGGUGGUGCAUGGUUGUCGUCAGCUCGUGUCGUGAGAUGUUGGGUUAAGUCCCGCAACGAGCGCAACCCCUAUCCUUAGUUGCCAGCACGUGAAGGUGGAACUCCUAGGGAGACUGCCGGUGAUAAAUCGGAGGAAGGUGGGGACGACGUCAAAUCAUCAUGCCCUUUAUGUCCUGGGCUACACACGUACUACAAUGGCUACCACAAAGAGAAGCGAAAUCGUGAGGUGGGGCAAAACUCAAAAAAGUAGUCUCAGUUCGGAUUGAAGGCUGAAAUUCGCCUUCAUGAAGCCGGAAUUGCUAGUAAUGGCAGGUCAGCAUACUGCCGUGAAUACGUUCCCGGGCCUUGUACACACCGCCCGUCACACCAUGAGAGUUGGGAAUACCCGAAGCCUGUGAGCUAACUGAAAAGAGGCAGCAGUCGAAGGUAGAAUCAAUGAUUGGGGUGAAGUCGUAACAAGGUAG
rnacentral:rRNA from 1 species